rnacentral:rRNA from 1 species
AUUGAACGCUGGCGGCAGGCCUAACACAUGCAAGUCGAACGAGUGGCGGACGGGUGAGUAAUGUCUGGGAAACUGCCUGAUGGAGGGGGAUAACUACUGGAAACGGUAGCUACUACCGCAUACCAUCUGAUGUGCCCAGUGGGGAUUAGCUAGUAGGUGGGGUAAAGGCUCACCUAGGCGACGAUCCCUAGCUGGUCUGAGAGGAGGACCAGCGGCACGGGAACGGAGACACGGGCCAGACGCCUACGGGGGGCAGGAGUGGGGAAUAUUGCACAAGGGGAGCAAGCCUGAUGCAGCCAUGGCGGGUGUAUGAAGAAGGCCUUCGGGUGGUAAAGUACUUUCAGCGGGGAGGCGUUACCCGCAGAAGAAGCACCGGCUAACUCCGUGCCAGCAGCCGCGGUAAUAC